GUGCAUUGUUGUCAGAAUUGACUAUGGUUGCUGUAUGCCAGGACUCCAGUGUUGCUUUGUGUCCUGGCAUACAGCAACCACAGUCAAUUCUGACAACAAUGC